rnacentral:rRNA from 1 species
GAUGAACGCUGGCGGCGUGCCUAAUACAUGCAAGUCGAGCGAACAGACGAGGAGCUUGCUCCUCUGACGUUAGCGGCGGACGGGUGAGUAACACGUGGAUAACCUACCUAUAAGACUGGGAUAACUUCGGGAAACCGGAGCUAAUACCGGAUAAUAUAUUGAACCGCAUGGUUCAAUAGUGAAAGACGGUUUUGCUGUCACUUAUAGAUGGAUCCGCGCCGCAUUAGCUAGUUGGUAAGGUAACGGCUUACCAAGGCAACGAUGCGUAGCCGACCUGAGAGGGUGAACGGCCACACCGGAACUGGGAAACGGUCCCGACUCCUAAGGGAGGGAGCAGUAAGGAAUUUUACGGCAAGGGGGGAAACCUGGAGGAGCAAAGGCGGGUGAGUGAAGAAGGUCUUCGGAUCGUAAAACUCUGUUAUUAGGGAAAAAAAAAAGUGUAAGUAAAUAAGGACGGUUUGACGGUAACCAAACCGAAAGCCACGGCUAACUACGUG